rnacentral:rRNA from 1 species
UUAAGCGCUCCGCCUGGGGAGUACGACCGCAAGGUUGAAACUCAAAGGAAUUGACGGGGGCCCGCACAAGCGGUGGAGCAUGUGGUUUAAUUCGAAGCUACGCGAAGAACCUUACCAGGUCUUGACAUACUAUGCAAAUCUAAGAGAUUAGACGUUCCCUUCGGGGACAUGGAUACAGGUGGUGCAUGGUUGUCGUCAGCUCGUGUCGUGAGAUGUUGGGUUAAGUCCCGCAACGAGCGCAACCCUUAUUAUCAGUUGCCAGCAUUAAGUUGGGCACUCUGGUGAGACUGCCGGUGACAAACCGGAGGAAGGUGGGGAUGACGUCAAAUCAUCAUGCCCCUUAUGACCUGGGCUACACACGUGCUACAAUGGAUGGUACAACGAGUUGCGAACUCGCGAGAGUAAGCUAAUCUCUUAAAGCCAUUCUCAGUUCGGAUUGUAGGCUGCAACUCGCCUACAUGAAGUCGGAAUCGCUAGUAAUCGCGGAUCAGCAUGCCGCGGUGAAUACGUUCCCGGGCCUUGUACACACCGCCCGUCACACCAUGAGAGUUUGUAACACCCAAAGUCGGUGGGGUAACCUUUUAGGAACCAGCCGCCUAAGGUGGGACAGAUGAUUAGGGUGAAGUCGUAACAAGGUAGCCGUAGGAGAACCUGCGGCUGGAUCACCUCCUUUCUAAGGAA